rnacentral:rRNA from 1 species
UAGGGAAUAUUGGGCAAUGGGGGCAACCCUGAUCCAGCAAUGCCGCGUGAGUGAUGAAGGCCUUAGGGUUGUAAAGCUCUUUCGCACGCGACGAUGAUGACGGUAGCGUGAGAAGAAGCCCCGGCUAACUUCGUGCCAGCAGCCGCGGUAAUACGAAGGGGGCGAGCGUUGUUCGGAAUUACUGGGCGUAAAGGGUGCGUAGGCGGGUUUUUAAGUCAGAGGUGAAAUCCUGGAGCUCAACCCCAGAACUGCCUUUGAUACUGAAGAUCUUGAGUUCGGGAGAGGUGAGUGGAACUGCGAGUGUAGAGGUGAAAUUCGUAGAUAUUCGCAAGAACACCAGUGGCGAAGGCGGCUCACUGGCCCGAUACUGACGCUGAAGCACGAAAGCGUGGGGAGCAAACAGGAUUAGAUACCCUGGUAGUCCACGCCGUAAAUGAUGAAUGCCAGCCGUUAGUGGGUUUACUCACUAGUGGCGCAGCUAACGCUUUAAGCAUUCCGCCUGGGGAGUACGGUCGCAAGA